GACGAACGCUGGCGGUGUGCUUAACACAUGCAAGUCGAACGGUAAGGCCCUUUCGGGGGUACACGAGUGGCGAACGGGUGAGUAACACGUGAGUAACCUGCCCUCAUCUCUGGGAUAACAGUCGGAAACGGUUGCUAAUACUGGAUAUGAGCUUGCAAGGCAUCUCGUGGGUUGGAAAGAUUUUUUUGGUUGGGGAUGGACUCGCGGCCUAUCAGCUUGUUGGUGAGGUAGUGGCUCACCAAGGCUUCGACGGGUAGCCGGCCUGAGAGGGCGACCGGCCACAUUGGGACUGAGAUACGGCCCAAACUCCUACGGGAGGCAGCAGUGGGGAAUAUUGCACAAUGGACGGAAGUCUGAUGCAGCAACGCCGCGUGCGGGAUGACGGCCUUCGGGUUGUAAACCGCUUUCAAUUGUGACGAAGCUUUUUGUGACGGUAGCAGUAGAAGAAGCACCGGCUAACUACGUG
rnacentral:rRNA from 1 species